rnacentral:rRNA from 1 species
UAACGGCGAGUGAAGCGGCAACAGCUCAAUUUGAAAUCUGGCUCUUUCAGGGUCCGAGUUGUAAUUUGCAGAGGGUGCUUUGGCGUUGGCUGCGGUCUAAGUUCCUUGGAACAGGACGUCACAGAGGGUGAGAAUCCCGUACGUGGCUGCAUGCCUUGGCCGUGUAAAGCCCCUUCGACGAGUCGAGUUGUUUGGGAAUGCAGCUCUAAUGGGAGGUAAAUUUCUUCUAAAGCUAAAUACUGGCCAGAGACCGAUGCGCACAAGUAGAGUGAUCGAAAGAUGAAAAGCACUUUGGAAAGAGAGUCAAACAGCACGUGAAAUUGUUGAAAGGGAAGCGCUUGCAGCCAGACUUGCCUGCAGUUGCUCACCCGGGCUCCUGCCCGGGGCACUCUUCUGUAGGCAGGCCAGCAUCAGUCCGGGCGGUCGGAAAAUGGCCUCUAUCACGUACAUUCCCUCGGGAAGACCUUAUAGGGGAGGCGUAAUGCGUCCAGCCUGGACUGAGGUCCGCGCAUCUGCUAGGAUGCUGGCGUAAUGGCUGUAAGCGGCCCGUCUUGAAACACGGACCAAGGAGUC